rnacentral:rRNA from 1 species
UACACACCGCCCGUCACGCCAUGGAAGCUGGUGGUACCCGAAGUCGCUGUCCUAACCCUCUUCGGAGGGAGGGAGGCGCCGAAGGUAAAAUCAGUGACUGGGGCG